GGUGUGUAUAAGAGACAGGUGAAUCAUCGAAUCUUUGAACGCACAUUGCGCCCCUUGGUAUUCCAUGGGGCAUGCCUGUUCGAGCGUCAUUUGUACUCUCAAGCCUUGCUUGGUGUUGGGUGCUUGUCUUUGCUUUGCGUAGACUCUCCCUAAAUACAUUGGCAGCCGAUAUAUUGGUUUGAAGCGCAGCACAAUUGCUAUUCAGGCUUGUUGUAUCAGCAUCCACAAAGAAUGAUAACACUUUUGACCUCGGAUCAGGUAGGGAUACCCGCUGAACUUAAGCAUAUCAAUAAGCGGAGG
rnacentral:misc_RNA from 1 species